GAUGAACGCUGGCGGCGUGCUUAACACAUGCAAGUCGAACGGAAAGGCCCAAGCUUGCUUGGGUACUCGAGUGGCGAACGGGUGAGUAACACGUGGGUGAUCUGCCCUGCACUUCGGGAUAAGCCUGGGAAACUGGGUCUAAUACCGGAUAGGACGAUGGUUUGGAUGCCAUUGUGGAAAGUUUUUUCGGUGUGGGAUGAGCUCGCGGCCUAUCAGCUUGUUGGUGGGGUAAUGGCCUACCAAGGCGUCGACGGGUAGCCGGCCUGAGAGGGUGUACGGCCACAUUGGGGCUGAGAUACGGCCCAGACUCCUACGGGAGGCAGCAGUGGGGAAUAUUGCACAAUGGGCGCAAGCCUGAUGCAGCGACGCCGCGUGGGGGAUGACGGCCUUCGGGUUGUAAACUCCUUUCGCUAGGGACGAAGCGUUUUUGUGACGGUACCUGGAGAAGAAGCACCGGCUAACUACGU
rnacentral:rRNA from 1 species